rnacentral:rRNA from 1 species
GGGAAUAUUGCGCAAUGGGCGAAAGCCUGACGCAGCGACGCCGCGUGGGGGAUGACGGCCUUCGGGUUGUAAACCUCUUUCAGCAGGGACGAAGCGAAAGUGACGGUACCUGCAGAAGAAGCGCCGGCCAACUACGUGCCAGCAGCCGCGGUAAGACGUAGGGCGCGAGCGUUGUCCGGAUUUAUUGGGCGUAAAGAGCUCGUAGGCGGCUUGUCGCGUCGACCGUGAAAACUUGGGGCUCAACCCCAAGCCUGCGAUCGAUACGGGCAGGCUCGAGUUCGGUAGGGGAGACUGGAAUUCCUGGUGUAGCGGUGAAAUGCGCAGAUAUCAGGAGGAACACCGAUGGCGAAGGCAGGUCUCUGGGCCGAUACUGACGCUGAGGAGCGAAAGCGUGGGGAGCGAA